GAUGAAGAACGUAGCGAAAUGCGAUACUUGGUGUGAAUUGCGGAAUCCCGUGAACCAUCGAGUCUUUGAACGCAAGUUGCGCCUCAAGCCAUUAGGUUGAGGGCACGUCUGCCUGGGCGUCACAUAUCGUUGCCUGAUGCCAGUUUCCUCGUGAUGGGUGACUGUGCAGGGCGAAUGAUGGCUUCCCGUGAGCAUUGUUGCCUCAUGGUUGGUUGAAAAUUGAGUCCUUGGUAGGGAGCGCCGUGAUAGAUGGUGGUUGAGUGACGAACGAGACCCAAUCAUGUGAGACCCCUACCGAAUUUGGCCUUCAUGACCCACAUGCGUCUUUGGAACGCUCAUGACGAGACCUCAGGUCAGGCGGGGCUACCCGCUGAGUUUAAGCAUAUCAAUAAGCGGAGGA
rnacentral:misc_RNA from 1 species